rnacentral:rRNA from 1 species
AACGUAGGUACCGAGCGUUAUCCGGAUUUACUGGGCGUAAAGCGUGUUCAGGCGGCCUGGCAAGUCGGGCAUGAAAUCUCUCGGCUCAACCGGGAGAGGCUGUCCGAUACUGCUGGGCUUGAGGACGGUAGAGGGUGGUGGAAUUCCGCGUGUAGUGGUGAAAUGCGUAGAUAUGCGGAGGAACACCAGUGGCGAAGGUGGCCACCUGGACCGUCCCUGACGCUCAAACACGAAAGCUAGGGUAGCGAACGGG